AGAAGCACUGGAACAAUCCUUCUGUAUUUAUUUUGUUAGCAUGUAUCGUGUUGUUUUCUGUAGGUGAUGUUGAUAUGGAUAUGCACUUCACAUUAACCCAUGGUGUUAACGUUUUGGUUUUUGUUUUUUUUUUCAAAUUAUGAAUUUUUAACGGCAGCUUUACCGCCCUGAUAGUGGGUUUAAGGUUCCUAAAAUCACUUUUUACUUUACUUAUUUAAUGGUCUAUCGUUUUUCCAACCCAGUUUAGAUUAAACCACGCCCACUUCCGUAGAACGAAGCGGUUGCUGGGCGGAGCAGAGUCAGCCAACCAAUCGACGCUUUGUCUGUCGUCACUGGUCUGCGACGCGUGUCGGGACAUAGUCGGGAAGGACAGUGAAACUACGGAGAAAAACAUACGUUUGAGUGACCGCUUCGUUAGCACUGUGAGAAGCUUCAUUAACGGAACAAGUCUGGAAACCAAAACAAGCUUUGGAGCUGUUGUUGUUGUUGAACGCAGUGAGGCUGGACGCUGAACAAACCUGCGGUGCCACGGUCUACUGGUUCAGUUGCUGCAGCCUGGAUGAAAAUACCAGCUCUCACCAUACAGACCAAACAGGUGUCACCAUCGCUUCAUGAUCGCAGAGUCAUCGUACAAUAAAGAAGUUCUUCAAAUCCAGAAGAUCCCUUCAGGUUUCAUCUCUUGAUCCAUGAGUCCAGAGACCAGAGAAGAUCCAGGACAGUGAGGUGUCCAACCAGGACAAGAGAAUGGCAGCUCAAGUUUUGGACCUAAAGUGGAUCACAGAAAACAACACAAUAACACACAAUGCCACUGGGAGGUGCUUUGUCUUCUGUUCUGUAGGAGGAGAAGAUCUCCUUAUGUGUACUCAUCACUACAUUAAAAUGGUUAAACAUCUCUCAUUAUCUUUGCUGCAUUGUGUUAAAUAUUGUUUACAUCUGAAUCAAUAAAGUUU